CUCCCUGAGACUUUAAGUCUCCUGAAGGAACGUUGAAGACGACGACGUUGAUAGGCCGGGUGUGUAAGCGCAGCGAUGCGUUGAGCUAACCGGUACUAAUGAACCGUGAGGCUUAACCUUA
rnacentral:rRNA from 1 species